rnacentral:tRNA from 1 species
AAGUGUGAAGCAAAAUUGCAAUCAGUUUCGACCUGAUCCUAGAUAAAUCUAAUUUAUCCCCACUUU